rnacentral:rRNA from 1 species
AUUGAACGCUGGCGGCAUGCCUUACACAUGCAAGUCGAACGGCAGCAUGGAGAGCUUGCUCUCUGAUGGCGAGUGGCGAACGGGUGAGUAAUGCAUCGGAACGUGCCGUGUAAUGGGGGAUAACGUAGCGAAAGUUACGCUAAUACCGCAUACGACCUGAGGGUGAAAGCAGGGGAUCGCAAGACCUUGCGUUAUACGAGCGGCCGAUGUCAGAUUAGCUAGUUGGUGAGGUAAAGGCGCACCAAGGCGACGAUCUGUAGCGGGUCUGAGAGGAUGAUCCGCCACACUGGGACUGAGACACGGCCCAGACUCCUACGGGAGGCAGCAGUGGGGAAUUUUGGACAAUGGGGGCAACCCUGAUCCAGCCAUGCCGCGUGAGUGAAGAAGGCCCUCGGGUUGUAAAGCUCUUUCGGCCGGGAAGAAAUCGCACAGGCUAAUACUCUGUGUGGAUGACGGUACCGGCAUAAGAAGUACCGGCUAACUACGUGCCAGCCGCCGCCGUAA